rnacentral:tRNA from 1 species
GCCAGAGUGGUGUAACCGGUAGCCACGCAGCACUUAAACUGCUGUUUCCUUACGGAAGUACGGGUUCGAGUCCCGUCUCUGGUACGA